CAGCCAGACUCCUACGGGAGGCAGCAGUGGGGAAUAUUGCACAAUGGGGGAAACCCUGAUGCAGCAACGCCGCGUGAGUGAAGAAGUAUUUCGGUAUGUAAAGCUCUAUCAGCAGGGAAGAAAAUGACGGUACCUGAGUAAGAAGCCCCGGCUAACUACGUGCCAGCAGCCGCGGUAAUACGUAGGGGGCAAGCGUUAUCCGGAUUUACUGGGUGUAAAGGGAGCGUAGACGGCGAUACAAGUCUGAAGUGAAAUGCCGGGGCUUAACCCCGGAACUGCUUUGGAAACUGUGCAGCUAGAGUGCAGGAGAGGUAAGUGGAAUUCCUAGUGUAGCGGGGAAAUGCGUAGAUAUUAGGAGGAACACCAGUGGCGAAGGCGGCUUGCUGGACGAUGACUGACGCUGAGGCUCGAAAGCGUGGGGAGCAACCAGGAUUAGAUACCCGCGUAUA
rnacentral:rRNA from 1 species